GUUUCUUUACAAAUGACUUUAUGUUAAACUCAUUCAAUUUUGUGUCGACGUGUACUUAUCGAUGACUUUAAGUGCAGACUGAUUUACCCCACCCGCUAAUGUUGAACUUGUAGUUGUUCUACUUCCAAAUGUUAUGAUUGAACAAUACUUUACCUCGAAAUUGUUGAUUAUAACAUCGUGAUCAUGAAAAUGAAUAUGACAUCAUGAUAUUGUUUGUGUUUGCUAUUUUUAAACAAGUUAUUGUAUUGAUUUUGGCAUAUUGCAUAUUGCCAAGGGAGAUGUUUACUGAGGAUUCCAUGCCAUUAAUGUGCAGGCUGUUGCUGACGCCAGCAUGAGCAAUAUCUGAGCACCAAUGAUGAGGGUCAUCUGCUGGGAGAUAGUGGGUAUCCGUUAAGGACUAACCUGAUGACCCCUUAACCUCAUCCCUCCCAUGCUGCGGAACAGGCCUACAAUGACCAUCUAUGUAGAGGAAAUCCACUGGUGGAUGUUGGCCUUUCAAGUCCAAUAAGUGCUGUGAAAUAUCAACUGUGUACAUGCCCCUGCAUAAUCUGUGUCUGGAUUCAAACGUUCCACUGAUAGAGGAAGCGGUUGGAAAUGUGAUGGAACCGGAAGUUAUGAACAACACACCAGUACAUCGAGCAGCAUGUGAUAAGAGGCAGCAGCUGAUCAAACUGUUUCAUAAAAUGUGUUAAAAAUUUAUAGUUAUAAAUGUUAUAAAGUGAUAGAUGGCUUGAGUCUUCUCUGAAUAGGCAGAGCUACACUACUCAGCCAAAUGGCGUAAAGUUGUGUCAUAGCUGAUUUGGAAGGAUUGGUAUUCCUGGUCGUCUAGACACAAUAGUUACAACAGCUGAUGUUUGCAUGUUUUAUAAUUGUGUAUGCAUAAUUUGUCUAAUAUUUACUUCAAGGUUAUAGGUUUGUGAAAGAAAAAAAUGUCAAUGUUCUGAGGACCAAUAAAAAAAGUUAUGUGUUAGGUA